CCGCGUGUCCCGGCGAACUUUGGAUCGAUCCGACGCGGAGGAAGGCGAAGCCGAGGGAGCGGCGAAGAGUGACGGUGCCGCUUCGCCGGUUCGAGUCCACGUCCAGCCUGAGAUCCGAGCGCGGCACCGUUCCCACCUGCCAUCGGGGAAUAUUGUCCCCGUGAAGGGGUGGACCUGGUCAGCGACAAGGUCCAGUCUCCCCCUCCUGUUACAACGACCGAAUGCGCGUUUGUCCUUGCAGACGGCUGGACAGCGAACGCCUUCCCCCGAGGUUCUCCACUUCUAG
ensembl:lncRNA